UAUUUGAAUUGAAUGAACUGACAACAUGACAGUCAACGCAACAGAAAAUAAGUUGAUAAAGUUUGGUCUAUAUAAGGCACAACUUACUAGUAAGUGUCAUGAAAGUUCUAGAGCUGAUCACGCUACGCAAAGAAACACACAAACACAAGACUCGAUUGAACUGCAGUCAGAGACACACAGUAAUUACAAACGGAUAAUCAAGUAUGGGUCUUCUUCUUGCCAAAUU